UUCUUUGUCUUUGUUUUGUUCUCUCUUUCUGGGAUUUUGUCUUCAUCUUUACUUUAGGCGGACCAUGUGUGAACAGAAUAAGAUGAAGAAUUUGCAGAAUUUAAGUUUAGUUAGUGAAAUUAACCUUGGAUACUAUGAAUUGACAUUGCUUAUCAGAUUGUCUCUCUUAUGUGUUACGUAUGAUUUCGCUACAUUCUUGCUUUGAGGUGUUCAGUCUUGGCACAUGUCAUUAUAUAAUAUCUUUAGGCUAAAUUCGUUUUCUACUGUCACAAUAUAUUUGCAUAACUUGGUUGUUUCGUCACUCAAUGUCUUUCAUUUUCCUUCCUUUUGUUUUCCUUUUGAAGGAAGUGAAAGCUAAUAAGGAAUGUUAAUUUGUAGUUUGAUGGGUGAGACUGUUGUUGUUCUUUAGCUGUAUUUUGAUGGGUGGCCUGAUCAAUGAGGUUUCAGAGGAGUCUUGUCGUUAUGAUGCUUUAAUUCUUUUGCUAUCGAUGCUAUCAGUUCGUAGUCGAUUUUGUGUGUUCUUGCCUUUUACUCGAGUUUCAUGGCUUGAUCUGGUGUAGCUGCUGCAGCUGUGUUUUUGAAGUUGUUCUUUUGAGCUUUGGAGGUGCUGGCACUGUUAUCUCUGCGAAGAGGUAGCUGUUGGGAUCGAUUAUGCUGGUUAAUUCUCAAGUUCCUUGUUGUGCCUCGCAAUUUCUUUCCUUGAUGGGUGGAUCUUGUGCUGUAUUGCAAGGUGAGAUAAAUGUUCCAAGCAUUCCAGCUGAGCUACAGCUACCAAAUUCAGACAACACAUUGUAGACAGUUUCUGCUUGGGAAUUAAGUUUCCUGUUGAUCACGCUAUGCUGAGUGGUUUGUGUUGUGGAAUUUCAAUAUAUUUGCCGCUGUGGUCCGUUGUCUUGUGGUGCUGAAAUUAUAUGGUAUGGUGAUAUCUCUUGAAUGUUGGCUAAAUUUGGCUGUCGGCAGUGAGUGUUUGGAGAGGACAUGGAAGUCGCUCUAUCUCUCUUGUAUAUUGCUGCCUUGAAUUAUAUAUGGUUCCUGUCAUCCGGGUAUAGAGUGUGUGUGUGUGUGUGUGUGGGUGUUUUUUCUCCAGUUGUUGAAUGGGGUCCUUUUGUCUUGAGAGUCUACUGUUAAUACUUUGUGUCCACCAUCCUAAUGACUUCAUUAGUUUUUUUGGAUGUAUCUGUUAACGAUUUCUAAUAAAAUUUGGUUUCUAUUCAUUAAAAAAAAAUUAAAAUUGUGGGUGUAGUUUUGAGCUAACUGUAUUCCAUUACAAUAUCCUGACAGCAUUAUUUUCGACAUGUAAAGCUCAUAUCGUGGAGAGAGAGCUAUUACAGGACAAUCCUCCGGCUGCCAACAAUAAUAGUCCAGGUUAUUUCCUUUACUGCUGGUGAUCAAAACUACACGGAGAUCAAUGGAUAUGAAUAAUAACACUUUGAAUGAAGGUUGAAGACUGAGGGUUUUGGCCAACUCCGAUCCAGUGAUUCAGCUUGAUCUGCGCAUUUCUGGGAAAUUAAAACCCGUGAUGAAAUGGUCGAGAUCUGUGGGAAAUAAUAUAUAGAAUGAGCAUUUCCAACUCUAAAUCUGGUCGUUUAUGGGUUACUAGGGCUCCUGUUUCCUUAUUUAUUUUUCUCUUCUUUGUGGCUCACUGGGCUAGAUAACGAUAAAGAUUCUCUCCCACAAAUGCCGGCCGGCUGAUCGUUUUAACCUCUGGGUACAGCUGCAUAUAUUUAAGCUUUGCGAAACCUACCUUUUUUUGUGGAAAAAUCAGAAAAAAGUCGCCCCUCAUGGUGCAUUUUUUGCCAUGGAGGUCUUAUCUCAGUCAUUACCUCAAGUCACAGCCAAUAAAUCACUCUGUUUGUUCUUAGAUCUUUAAGAGAGGAAGAGGUAGGGAGGAAUGUGCACGGUCAGAUCACAUCUAUAGAUUAUAACCGCUAGCAAUGUGUGCUUAAUCAGGUCUUAAAGCUAUUCUAAUGUCCUUAAUUGCUUAUGGUGGUUGGAUUUUAAUAGCAUGAUUGUUUACAAAUAAGUUUUGAACAACAAUUUGACAAUAUCAAUAUCAAUAUAUCUUUUACCCUGAUUUU